CAACUCGACUACAUGAAGCUGGAAUCGCUAGUAAUCGCGAAUCAGAAUGUCGCGGUGAAUACGUUCCCGGGUCUUGUACACACCGCCCGUCACACCAUGGGAGUCAGCAACGCCCGAAGCCGGUGACCCAACCGAAAGGAGGGAGCCGUCGAAGGUGGGGCCGAUAACUGGGGUGAAGUCGUAACAAGGUAUC
rnacentral:rRNA from 1 species